UACGGAGGGUGCAAGCGUUAAUCGGAACUACUGGGCGUAAAGCGCACGUAGGCGGAUUGUUAAGUUAGAGGUGAAAUCCCGGAGCUCAACUCCGGAACUGCCUUUAAUACUGGCAAUCUCGAGUCCGGAAGAGGUAAGUGGAACUCCUAGUGUAGAGGUGGAAUUCGUAGAUAUUAGGAAGAACACCGGUGGCGAAGGCGGCUUACUGGUCCGGUACUGACGCUGAGGUGCGAAAGCGUGGGGAGCAAACAGG
rnacentral:rRNA from 1 species